AUUGAACGCUGGCGGCAGGCCUAACACAUGCAAGUCGAGCGAGCGGCGGACGGGUGAGUAAUGUAUGGGGACUGCCCGAUAGAGGGGGAUAACUACUGGAAACGGUGGCUAAUACCGCAUACUAUCGGAUAACCCAUAUGGGAUUAGCGAGUAGGUGGGGUAAAGGCUCACCUAGGCGACGCUCUCUAGCUGGUCUGAGAGGAGGAGCAGCCAAACUGGGACUGAGACACGUCCCAUAGUCCUCCGGGGCCAGAAGUGGGGAAUAUGGCACAAUGGGCGCAAGCCUGAUGCAGACAUGACGCGUGUUGGAAGAAGACCUUAGAGUUGUAAAGUACUUUCAGCGGGGAGGCGUUACACGCAGAAGAAGCACCGGCUAACUCCGUGGCAGCAGCCGCGGUAAUUC
rnacentral:rRNA from 1 species